UACAGAGGGUGCGAGCGUUGUCCGGAAUCACUGGGCUUAAAGCGCGUGUAGGCGGCCCGGCACGUCCGUCGCUGAAAUCCCCCGGCUCAACCGGGGAAGGGGCGUGGAUACGGCCGGGCUGGAGGGGGGUAGGGGGAGCCGGAACUUCCGGUGGAGCGGUGAAAUGCGUUGAGAUCGGAAGGAACGCCCGUGGCGAAAGCGGGCUCCUGGACCCCACCUGACGCUGAGACGCGAAAGCCAGGGGAGCGAACGGG
rnacentral:rRNA from 1 species